UGCUGAAGCAAAUCAAGAAAU
rnacentral:piRNA from 1 species